rnacentral:rRNA from 1 species
UACAAAGGGGGCUAGCGUUGUUCGGAAUCACUGGGCGUAAAGCGCACGUAGGCGGAUCGUUAAGUCGAGGGUGAAAUCCCAGGGCUCAACCCUGGAACUGCCUUCGAUACUGGCGAUCUUCGAGUCCGGGAGAGGUGAGUGGAACUCCGAGUGUAGAGGUGAAAUUCGUAGAUAUUCGCAAGAACACCAGUGGCGAAGGCGGCUCACUGGCCCGGUACUGACGCUGAGGUGCGAAAGCGUGGGGAGCAAACAGG